rnacentral:rRNA from 1 species
AGUGAACGCUGGCGGUAGGCCUAACACAUGCAAGUCGAACGGCAGCACAGUAAGAGCUUGCUCUUACGGGUGGCGAGUGGCGGACGGGUGAGGAAUACAUCGGAAUCUACUUUUUCGUGGGGGAUAACGUAGGGAAACUUACGCUAAUACCGCAUACGACCUACGGGUGAAAGCAGGGGAUCUUCGGACCUUGCGCGAUUGAAUGAGCCGAUGUCGGAUUAGCUGGUUGGCGGGGUAAAGGCCCACCAAGGCGACGAUCCGUAGCUGGUCUGAGAGGAUGAUCAGCCACACGGGAGCUAGGACACGGUCCAGAAUCCUACGGGAGGCAGCAGUGGGGAAUAUAGGGCAAUGGGCGCAAGCCUGAUCCAGCCAUACCGCGUGGGUGAAGAAGGCCUUCGGGUUGUAAAGCCCUUUUGUUGGGAAAGAAAAGCAGCAGGUUAAUACCCCUCUGUUCUGACGGUACCCAAAGAAUAAGCACCGGCUAACUUCGU